CUGUUACCUGGUUCAAGUAAUCCAGGAUAGGCUGUAUGCAUUGCAGUUGGCCUAUUCUUGAUUACUUGCACUGGGAGACAG
rfam:Alligator mississippiensis ScZkoYb_34, whole genome shotgun sequence.